rnacentral:rRNA from 1 species
UAGGGAAUUUUCGUCAAUGGGGGGAACCCUGAACGAGCAAUGCCGCGUGAGCGAGGAAGGUCUUCGGAUCGUAAAGCUCUGUUGCCGGGGACAAAAGGCAGAAAGAGUGGAAAGCUUUCUGAGUGAUGGUACCCGGCGAGGAAGUCACGGCUAACUACGUGCCAGCAGCCGCGGUAAUACGUAGGUGGCGAGCGUUAUCCGGAAUGAUUGGGCGUAAAGGGUGCGCAGGCGGCCGGGCAAGUCCGCAGUAAAAACUGGAGGCUCAACCUUCAGGGGCUGCGGAAACUGUCCGGCUGGAGAGCA